UACAGAGGGGGCAAGCGUUAUUCGGCAUUAUUGGGCGUAAAGGGCGCGUAGGCGGCUUUGCAAGUGACGGGUGAAAGCCCUCGGCUUAACCGAGGAACUGCCUGUCAGACUGUGAGGCUUGAGACCGGGAGAGGUGAGUGGAAUUCCCAGUGUAGCGGUGAAAUGCGUAGAUAUCUGGAGGAACACCGGUGGCGAAGGCGGCAUUCUGGACUGUAACUGACACUGAGGAACGAAAGCCAGGGGAGCAAACGGG
rnacentral:rRNA from 1 species